rnacentral:rRNA from 1 species
UACGAAGGGGGCUAGCGUUGUUCGGAAUUACUGGGCGUAAAGGGCGCGUAGGCUGUGCUGUAAGUCAGGCGUGAAAGCCCCGGGCUCAACCUGGGAAUUGCGCUUGAUACUGCGGCGCUGGAAGGUGGGAGAGGAUGGCGGAAUUCCCAGUGUAGAGGUGAAAUUCGUAGAUAUUGGGAAGAACACCGGUGGCGAAGGCGGCUCUCUGGACCGAUACUGACGCUGAGGCGCGAAAGCGUGGGAGCAAACAGG